rnacentral:rRNA from 1 species
GAUGAACGCUGGCGGCGUGCCUAAUACAUGCAAGUCGAGCGAACGGACGAGAAGCUUGCUUUUCUGAUGUUAGCGGCGGACGGGUGAGUAACACGUGGAUAACCUACCUAUAAGACUGGGAUAACUUCGGGAAACCGGAGCUAAUACCGGAUAAUAUUUUGAACCGCAUGGUUCAAAAGUGAAAGACGGUCUUGCUGUCACUUAUAGAUGGAUCCGCGCUGCAUUAGCUAGUUGGUAAGGUAACGGCUUACCAAGGCAACGAUGCAUAGCCGACCUGAGAGGGUGAUCGGCCACACUGGAACUGAGACACGGUCCAGACUCCUACGGGAGGCAGCAGUAGGGAAUCUUCCGCAAUGGGCGAAAGCCUGACGGAGCAACGCCGCGUGAGUGAUGAAGGUCUUCGGAUCGUAAAACUCUGUUAUUAGGGAAGAACAUAUGUGUAAGUAACUGUGCACAUCUUGACGGUACCUAAUCAGAAAGCCACGGCUAACUACGUGCCAGCAGCCGCGGUAAUACGUAGGUGGCAAGCGUUAUCCGGAAUUAUUGGGCGUAAAGCGCGCGUAGGCGGUUUUUUAAGUCUGAUGUGAAAGCCCACGGCUCAACCGUGGAGGGUCAUUGGAAACUGGAAAACUUGAGUGCAGAAGAGGAAAGUGGAAUUCCAUGUGUAGCGGUGAAAUGCGCAGAGAUGUGGAGGAACACCAGUGGCGAAGGCGACUUUCUGGUCUGUAACUGACGCUGAUGUGCGAAAGCGUGGGGAUCAAACAGGAUUAGAUACCCUGGUAGUCCACGCCGUAAACGAUGAGUGCUAAGUGUUAGGGGGUUUCCGCCCCUUAGUGCUGCAGCUAACGCAUUAAGCACUCCGCCUGGGGAGUACGACCGCAAGGUUGAAACUCAAAGGAAUUGACGGGGGCCCGCACAAGCGGUGGAGCAUGUGGUUUAAUUCGAAGCAACGCGAAGAACCUUACCAAAUCUUGACAUCCUUUGACAACUCUAGAGAUAGAGCCUUCCCCUUCGGGGGACAAAGUGACAGGUGGUGCAUGGUUGUCGUCAGCUCGUGUCGUGAGAUGUUGGGUUAAGUCCCGCAACGAGCGCAACCCUUAAGCUUAGUUGCCAUCAUUAAGUUGGGCACUCUAAGUUGACUGCCGGUGACAAACCGGAGGAAGGUGGGGAUGACGUCAAAUCAUCAUGCCCCUUAUGAUUUGGGCUACACACGUGCUACAAUGGACAAUACAAAGGGCAGCGAAACCGCGAGGUCAAGCAAAUCCCAUAAAGUUGUUCUCAGUUCGGAUUGUAGUCUGCAACUCGACUACAUGAAGCUGGAAUCGCUAGUAAUCGUAGAUCAGCAUGCUACGGUGAAUACGUUCCCUGGUCU